UACGUAGGGUGCAAGCGUUAUCCGGAAUUAUUGGGCGUAAAGAGCUCGUAGGCGGUUUGUCGCGUCUGCUGUGAAAACUGGAGGCUCAACCUCCAGCCUGCAGUGGGUACGGGCAGACUAGAGUGCGGUAGGGGAGAUUGGAAUUCCUGGUGUAGCGGUGGAAUGCGCAGAUAUCAGGAGGAACACCGAUGGCGAAGGCAGAUCUCUGGGCCGUAACUGACGCUGAGGAGCGAAAGCGUGGGAGCGAACAGG
rnacentral:rRNA from 1 species